rnacentral:rRNA from 1 species
CCUACGGGAGGCAGCAGUGAGGAAUAUUGGUCAAUGGCCGUAAGGCUGAACCAGCCAAGCCGCGUGAAGGACGAAGGUGCCAAGCAUUUUAAACUUCUUUUGUCAAGGUACAAAAUCAGGCUCGAGAGCCUGACCGAGGGUACUUGAAGAAAAAGCAUCGGCUAACUCCGUGCCAGCAGCCGCUGUAAUACGGGGGAUGCGAGCGUUAUCCGGAUUGAUUGGGUUUAAGGGGUGCGUAGGCGGACUGUUAAGUCAGCGGUAAAAGCCCGGGGGUCAACCCCGGCGAGCCGUUGAAACUGGCUGUCUUGAGAUGUCGAGAGGUAUGCGGAAUGCGCAGUGUAGCGGUGAAAUGCUUAGAUAUUGCGCAGAACUCCGAUUGCGAAGGCAGCAUACCGGCGGCGAUCUGACGCUGAGGCACGAAAGCGUGGGUAUCGAACAGGAUUAGAUACCCUUGUAGUC